rnacentral:rRNA from 1 species
CCUACGGGCGGCAGCAGUGGGGAAUAUUGGACAAUGGGGGGAACCCUGAUCCAGCCAUGCCGCGUGUGUGAAGAAGGCCCUCGGGUUGUAAAGCACUUUCAGUGAGGAAGAACGCCUGGUGGUUAAUACCCAUCAGGAAAGACAUCACUCACAGAAGAAGCACCGGCUAACUCCGUGCCAGCAGCCGCGGUAAUACGGAGGGUGCGAGCGUUAAUCGGAAUUACUGGGUGUAAAGCGCGCGUAGGUGGCUUGAUAAGCCGGUUGUGAAAGCCCCGGGCUCAACCUGGGAACGGCAUCCGGAACUGUCAAGCUAGAGUGCAGGAGAGGAAGGUAGAAUUCCCGGUGUAGCGGUGAAAUGCGUAGAGAUCGGGAGGAAUACCAGUGGCGAAGGCGGCCUUCUGGACUGACACUGACACUGAGGUGCGAAAGCGUGGGUAGCAAACAGGAUUAGAUACCCUUGUAGUC